rnacentral:rRNA from 1 species
GACGAACGCUGGCGGCGUGCUUAACACAUGCAAGUCGAGCGGUAAGGCCCCUUCGGGGUACCCGGGCGGCGAACGGGUGAGUAACACGUGAGCAAUCUGCCCAUCACCUCGGGAUAACUCCGGGAAACCGAAGCUAAUACCGAAUACGACCACCUCCGGCCUCGGGUGGUGGUGGAAAGUUCCGGCGGUGAUGGAUGAGCCCGCGGCCUAUCAGCUUGUUGGUGGGGUAACGGCCCACCAAGGCUUCGACGGGUAGCCGGCCUGAGAGGGUGACCGGCCACACUGGGACUGAGACACGGCCCAGACUCCUACGGGAGGCAGCAGUGGGGAAUAUUGGACAAUGGGCGAAAGCCUGAUCCAGCAACGCCGCGUGAGGGAUGACGGCCUUCGGGUUGUAAACCUCUUUCAGCAGGGACGAAGCGAAAGUGACGGUACCUGCAGAAGAAGCACCGGCCAACUACGUG